AGUGAACGCAGGCGGUAGGCCUAACACAUGCAAGUCGAACGGCAGCACAGUAAGAGCUUGCUCUUACGGGUGGCGAGUGGCGGACGGGUGAGGAAUACAUCGGAAUCUACUUUUUCGUGGGGGAUAACGUAGGGAAACUUACGCUAAUACCGCAUACGACCUACGGGUGAAAGCAGGGGAUCUUCGGACCUUGCGCGAUUGAAUGAGCCGAUGUCGGAUUAGCUAGUUGGCGGGGUAAAGGCCCACCAAGGCGACGAUCCGUAGCUGGUCUGAGAGGAUGAUCAGCCACACUGGAACUUAGACACGAUCCAGACUCCUACGGGAGGCAGCAGUCGGGAAUAUUGGACAGUGGGCGCAAGCCUGAUCCAGCCAUACCGCGUGGGUGAAGAAGGCCUUCGGGUUGUAAAGCCCUUUUGUUGGGAAAGAAAAGCAGCAGGUUAAUACCCCGCUGUUCUGACGGUACCCAAAGAAUAAGCACCGGCUAACUUCGUG
rnacentral:rRNA from 1 species